rnacentral:lncRNA from 1 species
UUAAAGUUUCCUAUAUUAUAAUUGGCACGUAGAUUAUAGCCCUUGAUACAAAACUAAAUAUAUUGUAAAUGCAUGUAUCAGUUGGGCAAGAAGCUAGGGAACAAGAGGAAGAAGUUUUCCACUGCCAGCUGUAGAUUUUUGGAGGCGUAUCAGGGCUGUGCCAGAUUGACAGGUGAGUGGGAGUUUGUACUUUGCACCAUGAGCACAUUCCUUAUUCAUUUUCAUGAAUGUUGCCAAGUGUGACUUGAUUCCACCUGAGCUUAUUGAUUAAUUGUUGUAGUAGAUUCCUCUAUAAUCUUGAUUCUCCAUGCUUGAUUAUUCUGUACAUGCAUUUGAAGGAACAUUGAGAGAAAUUACGAGAGGUUGAUGAGUAAUCAAAUUGAUUCCGAAUUGUGAAAUGAUUUCUUUUGUAAAUUAAUUUUAUUUCCUCUAUUUCAAAGAUUUGUAGAGCCUUUUUAGUGGUAUAUUGAGUUGUAUUGCACUUUCUUGACCCUCACUCCCAACCCUGAUGUUAGUUUAUAAUUGGGUCGGAGUCGAGUGAGUGGUAGUCUUGAUCAUACUCCUUUUUAGUAGAGUAUUGGGAGGGUGCAU